UACGUAGGGGGCAAGCGUUGUCCGGAUUUAUUGGGCGUAAAGAGCGUGUAGGCGGCCAGGUAGGUCUGGUGUGAAAACUCGAGGCUUAACCUCGAGAUGUCAUCGGAAACCAUCUGGCUAGAGUCCGGAAGAGGAGAGUGGAAUUCCUGGUGUAGCGGUGAAAUGCGCAGAUAUCAGGAGGAACACCAAUGGCGAAGGCAGCUCGCUGGGACGUGACUGACGCUGAGACGCGAAAGCGUGGGGAGCAAACAGG
rnacentral:rRNA from 1 species